UUCCUUUCUUCAUUUAAAACAGAUCUAAUAUAUAUGAAUUAUUAUUGUAAGUCAUAAUAUAAUGUAUGUGAAAGAACCUAUAGCUGAUAGUCUCCAAGCGCAAUUACAGGACAAAGGGCACUUCCUUUGCUUUGAAAGGUUUAAAAACCCUUGCAGCUUGCUUGCUUCAUGAUAGCAGCAGCAGUAGAUGCCUUUCUCAAGUCUUUCUUUUUUUUAAUAUAAUUAAUUAAUUAAUUAAUUAUGUCAGCUACUUUCCAAUCAAGGCAAUUUCAGACAGCCUCUUAUGUGACUGAAUAAAGCUGUGAUUGACACACAGUUGCAAACAUUUAAAAGAAAGAAAGAAAUAGAUGAAAGUCCAGAAUCCUUACUUCCUCAUGAUGAGAUGAAAGUAAAAAUUGAACAACAUUGAAGAAAGGAGAGGAUCAAGUUCAUUGCUGUUGCCAGCAAUGAGUAUAUCAUAUUGUGAAACAUUCUUCAGUUUACAGAGUGAACAGUAGUGUUCAGGCUAAUCAGCAUAAACUUUCAGAUCGACUUUGUAUUCCAGAAAAGUGCAAAUGCCACACUUAAAGCAAGUCCUUGUUGAGGCAUUUGCUUGAGUGCUGUUAAGUAAAUCACAUACCUAAUCCAGAAGAGAGUUUCCAGCCUUGUAUAAGGGUUAAGUUGUAAAGGACCUCUGGAGACCAUCUAGUCCAGCCUUAACAAUGGGGCUGGGCACUGCCAAACUUAUCUCCUGCAGCUGGAGUCUGAGGAUAUUCAGGCGUUGUGUCUCAGAGAAGAUACUGUCUAUUUUCCUUUCAUCUUCUCUAAUGCUGUGCAGCCUGCUCUCUUUCUCCCAUAAAUCCUCCAUUUUACAGCAAAGUUCCUCCAUGGGACAGCGCUUACGCAGUGGGAGGGCUGCAUCCACCAGCUGAAGCUCAAUCUUGGUUAAAUCUUUCCCCCUAGCUGGGCGAGCUGCUGAGCUGCUCCAACACCUGCAGGGAAAAUGACUCUCUGACAUGUUACCACCAUGUCCAAGACUGUGACAGUGAUGCAAACUUGACUAAGACACCCUUCUUUGCAAUCUGUGAUAGUGAUGCAAACUUGACUAAGACACCCUUCUUUGCAAUCUUCUGUGCAAACUGCUGUGUCUGUUGGGUACUUCUGGGAGCUGAGGGCAGUACAAAAUGUAAUCUUUAUUUAAUACUUUUUAGUGUUAAUGUUGCUAGACUGUAUUUACUAAGUCAUUACUCUUUUUUUCUAGAUCAUGAACUACAGUGUUUCUCAAGUAGCAACAUUAUACAUGAGAAAACUUAUUUUAAAACCAUCAGUAUUAGAAAUGUAGGCAUGACAGUAUGUCUUCUGUAUGUAGAUUUAUGUGCCUUAACUUGAAUGUUUAAAGCAAAUUCCUCUUUUAAGUUUUGAGCUUUAUUAAAUUAAUUGAUAAAAAACUAAAAUUGUCCUUCUUAGUAAGUUACAAAAAUGCUGAAAUAGAGGUGGAGGAAAGAACUGUGACUAUAUGAAAGAUCACAGUUCUCACAAAUCAUCUUGAAAAUACAGAUUUGGGGAAUUAAGGAAAGAGCAGGGAAACCUCUGUUUGUAGAAAUGUUUAUAACACCAGGUUUUGUCCAAAGUAUAAAGUGUUAGUGGAAUUAAUGGUCUUCCAUUUCCAUAAUUCCUGUACUUAUUAAUAACCCUUUCAGUCAUUCACCUGCUUUGAUAUGCAGAGAAAUAUUCAAACGCUUGCCUGGCAAUACACAGGUAUUUUUGACACUUCUUUUUAUGUCAGUUAUUCAUUAUGGUAAUGGUACUUUGUGAUAUGCAGUUUCUGGAUUUAUGACCCAUUCUUGAUAAGCAUGAAUCCAGCCUGCAUGUGCAUCUUUGAUAAGGUUCUAAUUGGAUAGCAGUGACCUUUCUGAAUGUAAUUCUAGGAGGAAGAUUAAAAAGCAGUCCAGAAAGUGACAGGUUCGGGACAAUAACAUAUGAAUUCAGCUCUGCUGGCAGGCAUGAGAUGUAAGCCAUGAUAAAUUAGAGACAGGCUAAGCAGGCUUGCUGAAAGAUUGUUCAUUUCUGCUGCAUCCUUGGAUAUUGCCAACAGUGCCAUAUUUUCCCUGUAAUCCAAAUUCAGUAUAUGCUGUUUACACGUGCUAGAAAAUUGUGCAACUAGGAAAGUUUCAGAAGACACUGAAGGGAGCCUAUUAGGCUUUGUACCUCUGAAUGAUACUGUCCUUGAUGGAAUCAUCCAUUUGUUGUCCUUACUGAACUACUUGAUUCUGUUCCUGUGUGCUGCUUCUGAUGGCUUGCUGAUCUAAUUAAGCUAAUUAAAAACAAGAAAGUGAUUAGCUUCAUCCAGUGCCUGAUUAAGUAGAUCACAAAUCAAAAGUAAAAGCAGUCAGUUUGACUCUCCUUGCCUUUUUUUUUUUUUCCCCUUUGAAAAUAAAACAACUAUAGAACUUUCUCAGCAUGCUUGGUUAGAGGCUUAAGGUAAUGGAGGAUUGCACUAGGAAAGAAACUGUAUAUCAAGCCUGUUGAUUUUUAGGUAUAUCACAUGCACAGUUUCAGUCCUGUUUUUACUGGUUCUUAGGACUGGUUUUUGCAUUGUGACAAAAAAUAGUAAGCAUUUGAAGUCACUUUUUACCUCAUGACAAAUACUUGUUCUACAGUAUGAAACCUGAGAUCACCAAACUCAAAGAAGAAAAUAUUCUUAUCUGCAGUAAAACAAAUCAAAUAGCCUGGUUUAAAGCCUUGUAAACCAUCUAUAUCCAGUCUCCAAUGUUUGUGGUGCAGAAUUCAAAUGGACACUUCCUCUAGUUUUUGAAGUAAAAUAGAGGUAGAAAAAACUUAUGAAUAUAAAUAGGGUUUAGGGUAACUGUGUAAGUAGGACAUAGGUUACUGAAGUUAUAAACAAAUAAUUGUAAUUUUAUUUAGGUUUGUAAACUUAGCCGUGAUGGAAAUAUAAAUUGAUUUCAUAGUUUUGUGCUUAAUCUUAUGACAUAUAUAUUUAAAUUAGACAUACACUCCCAUACUAGUGAUAUUUGUGAGAGAGGGUUGUAUUUAUUUAUUAAUGUCUUUAUUUACUAUACAGCAUGCUGAUAAAAAUGAGCUGUGGCAACAUCUCUGAUAGUUCAUGUUUUAAUCUGCCUUGAUAGCUUUUGAGUAUAGAUAACGGUAAGAAAGUGUCUUAGGUUACCACACAUAUUUGUCCUUUAAAUAUUAAUAGUCUACCAAAUGAACAUACUUAAAAGCAGAUAGAAAAUGAAAUACAAUUUGCUUUCAUAAUUAAAAAACUUAAAUCUGGCAGAAAAGAGUUUGAAGUGGAAGGCCAGAUUUUGGUUGUCUCAAUAAAGUGUUCAAGAGAGAGGUUUAGAAGGGAAGCUUACCUUGCUAGGACGAAUGUCCAUUAAUCAGUCAGAAUUUUAUUGCUUUCUUGUAAGAGUUCCAACUGAGAAAUAGAAAAACUGUGAAUAUGAGUGAGAAAGGACUAAAAAUGUUAUUAGGGGCAGCAUGCAUUCUAAUAUCAUUGCCAUGCCCUUUCAGAAGGCCAUAUAACAGGUAAUUUAGAGGUCAUGUUGCAGGUCAACUGAGAAUUGUUGAACAGGUAAAGAAGCAUUUUUCCCUCUAAAGGCAAAAUUAUUGAAUAUGGUUGCUUUAAGGAAAAUAAAGAUCUUGAUAUUUAAAUGCUGAACCAUCUACUUGACUUUCAGAAAUUCUGCCAAAUUUGCUGGCGUAUUUUAAGCAUGAAGGAAUAUGGGUGGUUUUGCAUCAUUAUAUGUAAAAGUUUGAGGGUUCUUUCUUCCUUUCUCUCUCUCUCUCUC
rnacentral:lncRNA from 1 species